UACAGAGGCCACGAGCGUUAAUCGGAAUCACUGGGCUUAAAGGGUGCGCAGGCGGCUCGACAAGCGUUCCGUGAAAUCCCCCGGUUCAACCGGGGAACUGCGGAGCGAACGGCCGAGCUUGAGGCAAGUAGGGGCGGGCAGAACUGGAGGUGGAGCGGUGAAAUGCGUAGAUAUCUACAGGAAUACCGAUGGUGAAGGCGGCCCGCUGGGCAUGACCUGACGCUCAUGCACGAAAGCGUGGGGAGCAAACAGG
rnacentral:rRNA from 1 species